UGGGGAAUAUUGCACAAUGGGCGAAAGCCUGAUGCAGCAACGCCGCGUGAGGGACGACGGCCUUCGGGUUGUAAACCUCUUUUAGCAAGGAAGAAGCGAAAGUGACGGUACUUGCAGAAAAAGCGCCGGCUAACUACGUGCCAGCAGCCGCGGUAAUACGUAGGGCGCAAGCGUUAUCCGGAAUUAUUGGGGCGUAAAGAGCUCGUAGGCGGUUUGUCGCGUCUGCUGUGAAAACCCCGAGGCUCAACCUCGGGCCUGCAGUGGGUACGGGCAGACGUAGAGUGCGGUAGGGGAGAUUGGAACUCCUGGUGUAGCGGUGGAAUGCGCAGAUAUCAGGAAGAACACCGAUGGCGAAGGCAGAUCUCUGGGCCGUAACUGACGCUGAGGAGCGAAAGGGUGGGGAGCAAACAGGCUUAGAUACCCUGGUAGUCCACCCGUAAACGUUGGGAACUAGUUGUGGGGUCCAUUCCACGGAUUCCGUGACGCAGCUAACGCAUUAAGUU
rnacentral:rRNA from 1 species